GCAUUUCACCGUCUCUGUCUUUAGUCACAAGACGAAUUGUAGCAACAUUUCUAUCAGGGAUUCAGUCCUUCUGAGUCUCACUGGGAAUGUAAAUUUUAAAGCUUGUGAAGCUGUCUUGUUUCUUGCCGUUACCCUAACUUCAGAUUAUUGCCCUUCUCUUAAACAUCUGAGUCUCUUUAGUGUGCUUGCUUCUCUGUUUGCUCAUCUGCCAAGUGAGGUCUAGUUGGUUCAAUAUUGGUAACUGAAAUCUGCUUUGUCAGAGGCUGUGUAGGUCAUUGUUCAGUUCUUUUCAUGACAGACAAAAAUAGAGAAAAAGUUAGAAGACUAACUUGUCCUCAGCAGCUUGGAGUUCUGAUAGCUUGUGUGGGGUAGGGAUGGAGCUGUGGGCAGUGGACGACAGCUGCAGGGCCGAGUUCCGCUUUGCUGCCAAACAGUCUUCCUUUUGUGUUGCUUUGGCAGCUCUGGGCCUACUGGAGUAGUUUUCCUUCCCCCUGAAUAGCGGCCUGGCCUGGCAUCCAGGCAGAAGCUUCGGUGUGGCUCUUUGUCCAGUGCUGGUCUUGCUUAUCUCCAGCCUCUGCUCUAAUCUGGGAGCUUUGCAUAGAUUCUGAGCAGGGGACUGGUGGACGUGGUCCCUCUGUGUGGGUGGAGUGAUUAGUAAUUUAAGCUUGAGUUUUAUAGUCAUCAGUUUCCAAUCCUGGUGUGGCUAUUUGGUGGCUGUUUGGUUUUUGUUUGUUUUUUGCUUUUCAGGGAUAAACCCUCAGCAUAUGGAAGUCCCCAGGCCAGGGGUCCCAUCGGAGCUGCAGCUGCCAGCCUAUACCAUAGCUCUCGACAACGCCAGAUCCUUAACCCACUGAGCAAGUCAGGGUUUGAGUCCACAUCCUCGUGGAUGCUAGUCAGGUUUGUAACCCAAUGAGCAACAAUGGGAACUCCGGCCGUUUGGUAGAUGUUUAACAUUGGGCAUCUUGUUUGACCUUCUAAGCACCAGUUCACUCAUAUGUGUAAAUAAUACUGAAACUUGUUAACAGCCCGCGGCACUUAGUAGGGUAUCAGGCUCAUAAUAACUGAUGAUUGGCAGCAGUUUUAUGACUGAUGUUCCAGGGCCUGGCUGUUGAUUGGGCUUCUCCAUUCCUUAUGCUCUUUCCUAAACCACCUCCUGCUGACUCUUCUCACGGGUUCAGCUUUGUGAGUGGGGCUCUUGUUAAAUGGCCAGUUGGUGGUGAGGAAUGUUCUCAGUUGAGCUAGUUGGGUCAUUUUACCAUGAAAGGAUGAGGAAAAGGAGUCACGUGUAUCCCCUUGGUUUCCAGUGCUCGCAUGUAAUUCUUUAAACCACUGAAAUUAAUUUUAAUAAAUGAUGUGAAGUAAGAGUCUGCUUUUGGAGAACUAAAUACAUAAUUUUUUUAUGUAAUUCAUCUUUCCCCCAUUAUUUAUAAUAACUUUCCAGUGUGCUGUGGUUAGUAGCAUACUUGGAUCUGUUUCUGGGCUUUUUGUUCUGUUCCACUGGUCAGUCUCUUUAAUCUGGUGCCGUGCCAUGAUGUUUGAGUCUUUCUUCAGUGGCAGGAGUAGUUGUUAAGAGCAUAGCAUAGGCUUUUGGAGACAAGCUGCCUAGGUUUGAAUUUUGCCUCCUUUAAUUCCUAAGAGGUUAGGUAAAUUACUUAAUUUCUGUAUCUCAGUUUUGUCAUCUUAACAAUGGAUAUAGUGUUAGUGCCAUCAAUCUGUAUAGGACCCAUAUAAGAUUCAGUUAAUUUGCACGACUUGGCUCAAUGUAAGUGCUCAUUAAAUGUUAUUAUUAUUACAUCUUUUUGUGUGUGUGUGUGGACUGGACUUGCGACAUGUGAAGGUUCCCAGGCUAGAGGUCCAAUUGGAGCUGUAACCUCUGGCCUGUGUUACAGCCACAACAAUGUGGGAUCCCAGCCACAUCUGCAGCCUACACCACAGCUCAUGGCAACACUGGAUCCUUAACCCACUGAGCAAGGCCAGGGAUCGAACCCGCAUCCUCAUGGAUACUAGUCAGGUUCAUUAACUGCUGAGCCACGACGGAAACUCCUAUUAUUAGAGUUUCUAAUCUUAAAAUCUCUUGCCAUAUGUAACACCAGGCUGUCUGAUUUUGAAGGCUGCCUUCUUAAACUGGAGAUCAGAAAAUGGGAAAGAUUCUUCUCCUCCUGCAUGAUCUUCUUUCUCCCUUAUUUCCAAGCAGAGCCAUGGCUUUAAUUCUAGAAAUAACAACACCAAGAACUAAUAGUGCAGUCUUGUGAAGCCCUGGAGGUGUGUUUUUUUGAGAAAAAGUGGAUGAAAACCCAACUCUUUGGGCAUGUGACGGCGGGGACCCCACUUUUACCCUUUUUGUGUUUCUAGUACUAGUCCUGAUUUGUGAUAAGCACUCAAGACACAUUUUUCAGAAUGAAGGCAAAGUAAUACUUCAGCCUUUUAAUAAACAAAGAUUAAAAGUAUCAUGGGUCUUGGUGAGGGACAGUUAAACUUUGUAAAUUUAUUAUUACAAAUUUUAGUGCCUUUAAGCACCUUAGGAGUGGAAAAGGCUUGGAGUUUUUUUGUGGUGCAGCAGGUUAAGGAUCCAUAACCUUAGUUGGAUCUAGUGUUGUUACCAUAGUGGCUUGGGUCAACUGCUGUGGCUCGGGUUUGGUCCCCAGCCCCGGGACCUUCCACAUGCUGCAGGCAUAGCCAUAAAAUGGGGGUGGCGGGGGGAAGAGUGGAAAAGGCUGAUUUUUCUCAUAUGUUCAGUACCAAGAAAUAACUUUAGAAGAGCAAGGAGGAUUUUUUUUUUUUUUUUUUUUUUGCUAAAACGUUUAUGUACUGAUCAAAGCAGUCCAAUGCCUUAUGUUUGGAUGAAGUGGGUUUCAUCCAUGCUGACGAAGCAGCGUUGGAGGAGAAGGCAAGGAAACAUCCAACUGCCCCAACAGGAAGCCCUAAUCCUUUUAAAUGGCCUAGGAAGAGUUGAGAGAUAAAUUAUGAAGUGAUCAUCGUUUUCCAUGCCAGCCUGUAAGAGUGGCAGCUUUGUGUAACUGAGAGAAUGGUGCAGAGCUGCAUGUGUUUUGGCUGGCACCCCUCUAGGCAUCUUAGAUGUGAUCAGAUCCCGAUCUGAGCAAUGCCGGUGCAAGGUGCUCUCAGUGCCUGUCACCAUUGUCCUGGGCUCUUGCCUCGUGUGUCUAAAGAGAGAAAACUUGACCUAGCUUCCUCCAUUCCUCCUUGUGUCCUCAUGCUUGGAUUUAUUCCUCAUCCGGAGACCUUCAGGAAUUGGCUGGUGGGUACCUGAGACUUAGGUUUUGGAGUCAGACUGCCUGGGGUAAUCCUGGCUCUUCCUCUCCAUGGCUUAGGGCCCACGGGCAGAAUGGUGUCUGCACCCGGCAGUGCCUCACUUCUGAGAUGGACGUGAAAACAGGACCCGCUCGGAACGUUGAUGAGGAUGAAGGGAAGAGAGGCAGGUGCCCAAACUCUGUCUUACCCAACGACCGCUCAGUAGGUUGGUGUCUUCGUUCAGGCUGCAGUACCAAAUGACCAUAGACUGAUGGGGUUCUCGGGGCUCUGGAGGCUGGCAGUCUGAGGUCGGGGUGGGUUCUCCGUGAGAGGCAGCUUCCGGCGUACCCGUAGUCUUCUGCGCGUGUCCUCACGUGCAGAGAGAGCUCGUGCCUCUGAGGUUCCUUCUUAGGAGGGUACCAAGCCCACUCACGAGGACUCUACCUUCAUGACCUACUUACCUCGUAGCUCCCAACACCAUCACAUCGGGGGUUAGGAUUUCAGCAAAGGAAUUUGGGGGAGCACAUUUAGGUCUUCACAGUUAUUCUCCCUUCUGCUAGCUCUCUCGACUAAUAGGAGCGAUAGAGGCUUUGCUGUAAUCAUGCUCUGCAUUUCUCCCUGGGAAUCUGGGCAGUGCCUCUCUCGUCAGAUGCUGGACGCUCCCGUGUACACUUGAUCUGGCUUGAUUCAUAAUGGAAAAGAUGCCCAGCAGACGUUUUUUCUUCGUUGCCGUGUGCUGGGUGCCCACCUUUGUUUUCCUUUAUAUAUCAGGAAGCUCGACAAUUAUCUCUUGGGUGGUUGGUGAUGUUUCUUGAAAGAUGUUGGCUUUGGCUGGGUUUUGCUCCUUUUCAGGUCGAUAUGCCAGGUGGCCUCAGCUACGUUCUAGAGCUCACAUUCAUGCACGCGCAUUUACACUCCCAUGCCCUGCUGUAUCAACAUGAUUUCAACCGAAACAUUCCUUAUUUUAGGAUUAUCUCUGGUUAUCUAAGAUAAUCUGGCCAUGCUUAACUGGUUAUUAUUCAAAACAGACCUGGUGGCCAUAAGCGGUAAAACUUGGGAAGUGACAUUCCCAGCAGAGAGGGCAAGGAGGGAAGUGACCUUCACCCAUUUAAGCAGGGUGGAAAACAGCCCGUCCUCGGCUUCGGAUCCUGUCUUUUUAAGCGCAGAAAGCAAAAUCAUUGCAGCAAUCACCUAGGGUUAGUUAAUUGAAAGGACUCAUAAGAUUUUGCAAAGCGCACUUAACCUCAGGCUCUAGUGAAGACAGUGGAUACAGUACAGCGAGAGAAAGAGAGCACGGGUGACUCAAGGAGCCUGAACCACUCCGGGUCCUUUCUUUGCACAGAAUACUUCUGUCUUAAGAUCAUGAGCCCUCAGGAUCAUGUGAGAUAACCUGGCCUAGACAAAUAGAUCACUGGAACAGGAUAGAGGGUCCAGAAAGAGACCCACACACAUAGAUGGUCUAUUGAUGUUUAACCAAGGAAUCAAAGCAGUUUGAUGUCGAAAGGAUUAUUUUUUUCAACAAAUGGUGGUGAAACAUUGGAUGUCCACACAUUUAAAACAUGAACUUCAAUCCAUGCCUUGUGCGCAUACAAAAAUGAGCACAAGAUGGAUUAUAGACUUAAAUAUGAAGUCUAAAGCCAUUAACACUUCUAGAAGAAACAUAGCACAAAAUCUUUGGUUUUUUUUGUUUUGUUUUUAUUUUUUUGGCCACAUCCAUGGCAUAUGGAAGUUCCCAGGCUAGGGAUCAAAUUGGAGCGAGCUGCUGGUCUCUGCCACAGCCACAGCCACUACAGAUCAAAGCUGUGUCUGAGACCUACACCACAGCUCACGGCAAUGCGGGAUCCUUAACCCACUGUACAGGGCCAGGGAUGGAACCUGCAUCCUCAUGGGUGCUAGUCGGGUUCAUUACCGCUGAGCCAGGACAGGAACUCCAGGACAGAAUCUUUGUGAUUAGGAUCUGCAUUUUACAAAAUCCCUAGGUUGUUUUAAUCUACCUUCAGAUUUGAAAAGGAGGAGUUCCUGUUGCGGCACAGUGGAAAUGAAUCCAACUAGGAACCAUGAGGUCUUUGAUCCCUGGCCUCGCCCAGUGGCUUGAGCGUCCAUCUUGCUGUGAGCUGUGGUGUAGGUCGCAGACACGGCUUGGAUCUGAUGUGGCUGUGGCUAGGUCGGCAGCUGUAGCUCGGAUUGGACCCUUAUGCCGCGAGUGUGGCCUUAAAAAGCAAAAAAAAAA
ensembl:lncRNA